AUUGAACGCUGGCGGCAGGCCUAACACAUGCAAGUCGAGCGAGCGGCGGACGGGUGAGUAAUGUCUGGGAAACUGCCCGAUGGAGGGGGAUAACUACCGGAAACGGUAGCUAAUACCGCAUACCAUCAGAUGUGCCCAGGUGGGAUUCGCUAGUUGGUGGGGUAACGGCUCACCAAGGCGACGAUCCGUAGCUGGCUUGAGAGGACGACCGGCCACACUGGGACUGAGACACGGCCCAGACUCCUACGGGAGGCAGCAGUGGGGAAUUUUGGACAAUGGGAGAAAGCCUGAUCCAGCCAAGCCGCGUGUGCGAUGAAGGCCUUCGGGUUGUAAAGCACUUUUGGCAGGGAAGCGGUACCUGCAGAAUAAGCACCGGCUAACUACGUGCCAGCAGCCGCGGUAAUUC
rnacentral:rRNA from 1 species